CUGAUUACCAGUUUUUUGAACUGUGCAUCUGAUAGGUUAGCUAUCACUUCAUCAUUUAGUUGUAUUUUUUUCCCACAGCUUUGAUCUGUUCUUUUAUGUGGGCCAU